AGUGGCCUUUUGUACAGUGGUCAGUCAAGUUUAUAAAUUCCUUCUGCAUCAAGACCUGUGGAUGUUAGAAUGGACAGAUUGGUACCUUUUCUUUCAAAGAAGCCCCAAACAUGUCCUAAUGUGUUAAAUUUUCAUAACCUUUGGUUGGGGUUGGUGGCAGGGCACAUCACUCUUCCCUUCAGCUCCUCUCCAUUGCCUGGCCUUCCGUGCUGUCCUGGCUAAUGAACUCUGAGCACAAAAGACACGUCACUUCCAGCCGAGGAUCGUAAUUAAGGAUCCAGAAAUUGAUGUUAAUCCAGAACUGCAUAGGGUCCUGUACCUACGUAGGAACUUCUGAUGCCCAUAGCCUCGGAAUGAGCACCAGAGACGUGAAACCGUAACCUUAAGAGUUGCUCAUGUACGUGAGGAUUUGAGUUACAGGGUAAGUGUAAUGACUGCUCCGUGCAGUAGUCUUUAAACAUAACUU